UGCCAACUUAUCAUUGUAGGUAUAGCAUUUCUUCUUCUUGGUAAUAUUUUCAAAGAGUAAACUGCAAAUUCAAUGAUAUACAACUCUGUGAUUGGUCUUUGUAUUUGAUCUGGUAAAUGGAGAAACUGAAUAACAAAGCCAAGAAAUAUGAACACGUUAAAUACCAGGCUGUUUUUCUUUGUGUUCUUCCUUGCUGCAAUCAUAUGCACCCUUUUAUUGUCAGAGACUUUAGCAUUAGAGCAAAUAACUUGGGGACCCGUGCUGUCUAGAUAAAUUAUCUACAUGAUCCUCAAGAGACAUAGCUCAAGUGCUUUCCAAGAGAUCUGCAAAGUAACACUUUCCUCUUAAAAAAUUAGAUAAAAACAGUUAUUGUAAUUUAUAUAACAGGCUGUUGCUCCUCUAUUUCUGUAGUUCAGAUGUGUAGUUCAGAUGUGCACAACUGGGUCUAUGGAAAGAACAGGUGGGUAAGACAAGGUUAAAUGAAUGGUCUCCAGAACAACAAAAUUUAUAUUGUUUCCUAGUAUCUUUUUUACUUGAAGUACGAGAGACCGCAUAUAUUUCUAAUACACCAAAAUUACAUCAUUCGUUUUUUUUUAUAGAAGUUGCUCAAGUUCGGAAAACCCAUUUCCAAAUUUUCGUGGGCCUGGUGAAACUGGGGACAGAAAGUCAGACUAUAAAAAUUUUGUCUAACCAAAUUAAAUCAUUGUACUCUCUCAAUGUUGAUAUAUGUCAUCUAGAAGUAAAGGACAACAUUGUUUGCCCCCCGGGCACUUCUCCGCUGAUAAAGGACGGGUUCUCUCAAAGUUGACAGAUCAGAGGUCGUGGGUUCGACUUUCGGAGCUCUUGGAAGGCAAGGCACAUACUGGAAGACAGGAUUUAUCCUGGAAGGCAGGAAUGUCUUGAAAGGCAAGACGCAACAUGGGUUGGUUCACUAGGCACUUUGGCAAUCCAAUUGGAGAGGUGCUCGGACCCUGGUCAGUUGGAGGUAAAUCCCGCGAUUUAAUUGGUCUGUGUGAAGAGGGGCCGGAUCACAGACCCAAAGAAUAGUCGCCGAAAGCGGACACCUUGAUAAAAAAAAAGGACAACAUUGUUUUUAUUAGUUGGAUAGCAUGCUCAACUGACAAGAUUACUAGCAUGAAAUAAAAUACAAAUUUGCAUUAUCCCUUUGAUAGAAAUGAUUCCACUACCUUAGACUUCUAAUGAACUUCAUGGAUCAGAUCUGUAACACAUUUCUAGCCUUUUGUACCUGUCUAAUCUCUCUACUAAAGUGUUCAUUACAUAAACUUGGAAGUUAAGGCAAUGUAGUUAACGUUGUGAUAUUUUUGACAAACAUGUUUUCAGGUCCGUUCUCUGCUACA
rnacentral:lncRNA from 1 species